GGGGGGGGGGGGGGGGGGGGCGGGGGGGGGCGGGGCGGGGGCGUCACGUCGGGGAGGAGUGGCGGAGGGGGGAGUAAUACAUAAGUAACCUGGCAUCUACAGGGGGAUAACUGAGGGAAACGUCAGCUAAGACCGCAUAGGUGUAGAGAUCGCAUGAACUCUAUAUGAAAAGUGCUACGGGACUGGUAGAUGAUGGACUUAUGGCGCAUUAGCUUGUUGGUAGGGUAACGGCCUACCAAGGCGACGAUGCGUAGCCGACCUGAGAGGGUGACCGGCCACACUGGGACUGAGACACGGCCCAGACUCCUACGGGAGGCAGCAGUAGGGAAUUUUCGGCAAUGGGGGAAACCCUGACCGAGCAACGCCGCGUGAAGGAAGAAGUAAUUCGUUAUGUAAACUUCUGUCAUAGAGGAAGAACGGUGGAUAUAGGGAAUGAUAUCCAAGUGACGGUACUCUAUAAGAAAGCCACGGCUAACUACGUG
rnacentral:rRNA from 1 species